rnacentral:misc_RNA from 1 species
AGAAUCUGGACCCAUCGAUCGAAGCCCUAUUGAACGUGGAGAAGCAGAUGAGGCUGGCCGGCGACGUCGCCGGCACCAAGAAGGCGGUGAUUGACAUCGUGGAGCUCUGCCACAAGGCCGGGGCGUGGAAGACGCUGAACGAUCAGAUUGUGGUUCUCUCGAAGAGGAGGGGGCAGCUCAAGCAGGCAGUGGCUGCAAUGGUACAAAAAGCGACCGAGUAUAUUGAUGAGACGCCUGAUAUUAAUACACGCAUUGAGUUAAUUGAAACUCUGAACAAUGUUUCUGCUGGAAAGAUAUAUGUUGAGAUUGAGAGAGCACGGCUGGUAAAGAAGCUUGCCAAAAUCAAAGAAGAACAGGGUCUUAUUGCCGAGGCCGCUGAUUUGAUGCAAGAAAUGGCUGUGGAAACAUUUGGAGCAAUGGCCAAGACAGAAAAAAUAGCUUUCAUCCUCGAUCAAGUUCGCUUGUGCUUAGAUCGCCAAGACUAUAUCCGAGCACAGAUCCUGUCAAGAAAGAUUAGUCCCCGAGUUUUUGACGCAGAUACUACAAAAGAAAAGAAAAAGGCAA